AGUGAACGCUGGCGGCGUGCCUAAUACAUGCAAGUCGAACGGAGUGGCGCACGGGUGAGUAAUGUAUAGCUAAUCUGCCCUACACUAGAGGACAACAGUUGGAAACGACUGCUAAUACUCUAUAGUGUAGGUUGAGGCUAUAUUGUAUCAGCUAGUUGGUGAGUUAAUGGCUCACCAAGGCUAUGACGCAGAACUGGUCUGAGAGGAUGAUCAGUCACACUGGAGCUGAGCAUCAGUCCAGACUCCUACGGGAGGCAGCAGUAUCGAAUAGUGCUCAAUGGGGGAAUCCCUGAAGCAGCAACGCCGCGUAGAGGAUGACACUUUUCGGAGCGUAAACUCCUAUUGUUAGGGAAGCGGUACCUAACGAAUAAGCACCGGCUAACUCCGUGCCAGCAGCCGCGGAAUUC
rnacentral:rRNA from 1 species